UGUCCGGCAACUUCACACUUCUCCAUUACGUACUGCUUGCAUUCAUUUCCCCAAGACAGCACUUCCAAGUGUGACCCAUGUUUAUCCAAAUUCGGAGUAACAAUAUCAUCCAACCAGACUUUAGGCUUCGCUUCCACCAUAGCCGCAAGGAAAAUCUCAUCAUUCUGCUUCACGCCCAUGUUAAUCACCGUGGCGGAGUUUAUAGAAACCUUCUGUUGAUUGUUUUCCCUUCUAUUAGGAUAAACAGCCUUUAUAAAAUCAGGAGCCGCACCAUUCAUAAUCAUUACUCCGUCCAAAUGAGGCAUUGGAACGAAGCAAUGUUUCUUCAUAAAGUCGAUUCCGAGGAUCACCUCAAAAUCUUCUNNN
rnacentral:lncRNA from 1 species